rnacentral:lncRNA from 1 species
GGGUGCUCUUGAAAACACACUUUGAGUUUGUUUUCAGCUGGGCCUUAACCAAAGAGUUGACAGCCCAGCGA